AUCCAGCUGACGAGUCUCAAUUAGGACGAAACGCGCGUCAAACUGGAU
rnacentral:hammerhead_ribozyme from 1 species